GUGGGGAAUAUUGGACAAUGGGCGAAAGCCUGAUCCAGCCAUGCCGCGUGUGUGAAGAAGGUCUUCGGAUUGUAAAGCACUUUAAGUUGGGAGGAAGGGCAGUAAGUUAAUACCUUGCUGUUUUGACGUUACCGACAGAAUAAGCACCGGCUAACUUCGUGCCAGCAGCCGCGGUCAUACGAAGGGUGCAAGCGUUAAUCGGAAUUACUGGGCGUAAAGCGCGCGUAGGGGGUUUUGUAAGUUGGAGGUGAAAUCCCCGGGCUAAACCUGGGAACUUCCUCCAAAACUGCAUGACUAGAGUACGGUAGAGGGUAGUGGAAUUUCCUGUGUAGCGGUGAAAUGCGUAGAUAUAGGAAGGAACACCAGUGGCGAAGGCGACUACCUGGACUGAUACUGACACUGAGGUGCGAAAGCGUGGGGAGCAAACAGGAUUAGAAACCCGUGUAGUCC
rnacentral:rRNA from 1 species